AGGCAAAAAUAUGGUCUUGAGGUUUGAUUAAACUAAAAUUGCUCUAGUCAGAGAGUGGGGUGGGGAAGAGGGUUUCAAGAAUUCCAAUCAGUCCCUGAUGACACUGUGGAGAUCCAAGUUGCCUUGGAAUAUGCAAUCAAUGUGGAAAUCGCCAGAAGUAUAGAGGAGUGACGGCUCCAGGCUCCAGUGCAGCAGGGCCUAGAGAACGGCGAAGGCAUCCCAAAACUAAGAAAGUUGCAUCUCUGUGUUGACAGCAGACUUUAAAACAGGAACUGUGUCAAGUUUCACUUUCCGGACCUGCUACACUCUGAGCCUUGUGCAAAGAGCCUUGUGCAUUUGUUAAGUUGAAGUGAAUUGGAACGAAAAAGUUGCUUCCUACAGAAUAUCUGGCCAGUGCUACUCAAAACUGUCAAGAUCAUUAAAGCAAGAAAAUUCUGAGAAACUGUCACGGCCAAGAGGAACCUGAGGAGUCAUGACAAGUAAAUACUAUGGUACCCUGGAUGAGAUCCUCAAACAGAAAUAGACAUCAGAAAGAAAGAAAAAAAAGGAGUGAAGGAGAGGAAGAAAGAGGAAGAAAAAGAGGGAGAGAAAACGGGAAUGUAGCUUUAUUCUAAAAAUGGGUAUUAAUAAUGGCCGAUCAAUAUUUUGUGUAUUUAAGGUGGAGAAUGUAUAUUUUGUGUAUUUAAAAUGAAGAGCUCUAUAAAUAUUUAUUGAGUUUA